AUACGGAGGGUGCAAGCGUUGUGCGGAUUUAUUGGGCGUAAAGCGAGUGUAGGCGGUUUGGCAAGUCGAAUGUGAAAUCCCGAGGCCCAACCUCGGAACUGCAUCCGAAACUGUCAGGCUAGAGUCCCGGAGAGGGUGGCGGAAUUCCCGGUGUAGGGGUGAAAUCCGUAGAUAUCGGGAGGAACACCAGUGGCGAAGGCGGCCACCUGGACGGUGACUGACGCUGAGACUCGAAAGUGUGGGUAGCAAACAGGAUUAGAUACCCUUGUAGUCC
rnacentral:rRNA from 1 species